rnacentral:rRNA from 1 species
CGGUACAAAUGGUUGCUAAGUGGCGACACUAUGCCAAUCCCAUAAAGCCGAUCUCAGUUCGGAUUGGAGUCUGCAACUCGACUCCAUAAAGCUGGAAUCGCUAGUAAUCGCGUGUCAGCAUAACGCGGUGAAUACGUUCCCGGGUUUUGUACACACCGCCCGUCAAGUCAGCCGAGUUAAGUGCACCCGAAGAAGGUGAGCCAACCGCUUUGCGGAAGCAGCUUUCGAAGGUGUGCUUAGUAAGGGGGACUAAGUCGUAACAAGGUAGCCGUACUGGAAAGUGCGGCUGGAUCACCUCCUUU